GUCCUAGGUAGCCUAGUGGUCAUGGCAUCUGCCCAGUGAAGGUCGUGGGUUCGAUUCCAUCCCUUGACA